rnacentral:rRNA from 1 species
AAGGCCUUGCGCUUUUGGAGCGGCCGAUGUCUGAUUAGCUUGUUGGUAAGGUAAAAGCUUACCAAGGCGUCGAUCAGUAGUUGGUCUGAGAGGACGACCAGCCACACUGGGACUGAGACACGGCCCAGACUCCUACGGGAGGCAGCAGUGGGGAAUUUUGGACAAUGGGCGCAAGCCUGAUCCAGCAAUGCCGCGUGAGUGAAGAAGGCCUUCGGGUUGUAAAGCUCUUUCAGUCGAGAAGAAAAGGUUGCGAUUAAUAAUCGCAAUUUAUGACGGUACCGGAAGAAGAAGCACCGGCUAACUACGUGCCAGCAGCCGCGGUAAUACGUAGGGUGCAAGCGUUAAUCGGAAUUACUGGGCGUAAAGCGUGCGCAGGUGGUUUUGUAAGUCAGAUGUGAAAUCCCCGGGCUUAACCUGGGAACU